AGUGAACGCUGGCGGUAGGCCUAACACAUGCAAGUCGAACGGCAGCACAGUAAGAGCUUGCUCUUACGGGUGGCGAGUGGCGGACGGGUGAGGAAUACAUCGGAAUCUACUUUUUCGUGGGGGAUAACGUAGGGAAACUUACGCUAAUACCGCAUACGACCUACGGGUGAAAGCAGGGGAUCUUCGGACCUUGCGCGAUUGAAUGAGCCGAUGUCGGAUUAGCUAGUUGGCGGGGUAAAGGCCCACCAAGGCGACGAUCCGUAGCUGGUCUGAGAGGAUGAUCAGGCACACUGGAACUGAGACACGGUCCAGACUCCUACGGGAGGCAGCAGUGGGGAAUAUUUGACAAUGGGCGCAAGCCUGAUCCAGCCAUACCGGGUGGGUGAAGAAGGGCUUCGGGUUGUAAAGCCCUUUUGUUGGGAAAGAAAAGCAGCAGGUUAAUACCCCGCUGUUCUGACGGUACCCAAAGAAUAAGCACCGGCUAACUUCGUG
rnacentral:rRNA from 1 species